AUGUACCGGGGCUAAACGUGCCGCCGAAGCUGCGGGAUGACCGUUGGUCAUCGGUAGGGGAGCGUUCUAAGGGCGUUGAAGCCAGACCGGAAGGACUGGUGGAGCGCUUAGAAGUGAGAAUGCCGGUAUGAGUAGCGAAAACAGAGGUGAGAAUCCUCUGCGCCGAAAGCCUAAGGGUUCCUGAGGAAGGUUCGUCCGCUCAGGGUUAGUCGGGACCUAAGCCGAGGCCGAAAGGCGUAGGUGAUGGACAACAGGUUGAGAUUCCUGUACCACCUCCUUCCCGUUUGAGCGAUGGGGGGACGCAGGAGGAUAGGGCGAGCAGGCGGCUGGAAGAGCCUGUCCAAGCCGCAAGGCUGAUCCGUAGGCAAAUCCGCGGAUUGUAAGGCCAAGCGGUGAUGGCGACGGAGUCAUCCGGAAGUCCCCGAUUUCACACUGCCAAGAAAAGCCUCUAGCGAGGGAAGAGGUGCCCGUACCGCAAACCGACACAGGUAGGCGAGGAGAGAAUCCUAAGGCGCGCGGGAGAACUCUCGUUAAGGAACUCGGCAAAAUGACCCCGUAACUUCGGGAGAAGGGGUGCUCGUUUGGGUGAAGAGCCCGAACGAGCCGCAGUGAAAAGGCCCAAGCGACUGUUUAUCAAAAACACAGGUCUCUGCGAAGCCGAAAGGCGACGUAUAGGGGCUGACACCUGCCCGGUGCUGGAAGGUUAAGGGGAGCGCUUAGCGGAAGCGAAGGUGCGAACCGAAGCCCCAGUAAACGGCGGCCGUAACUAUAACGGUCCUAAGGUAGCGAAAUUCCUUGUCGGGUAAGUUCCGACCCGCACGAAAGGUGUAACGACUUGGGCGCUGUCUCAACGAGAGACCCGGUGAAAUUAUACUACCUGUGAAGAUGCAGGUUACCCGCGACAGGACGGAAAGACCCCGUGGAGCUUUACUGCAGCCUGAUAUGGAAUUUUGGUAUCGCUUGUACAGGAUAGGUGGGAGCCUGGGAAGCCGGAGCGCCAGCUUCGGUGGAGGCGGCGGUGGGAUACCACCCUGGCGAUAUUGAAAUUCUAACCCGCACCCCUUAGCGGGGUGGGAGACAGUGUCAGGCGGGCAGUUUGACUGGGGCGGUCG
rnacentral:rRNA from 1 species